rnacentral:rRNA from 1 species
AGGCGGUCUGUCAAGUCGGAUGUGAAAUCCCCGGGCUCAACCUGGGAACUGCAUUCGAAACUGGCAGGCUUGAGUCUUGUAGAGGGGGGUAGAAUUCCAGGUGUAGCGGUGAAAUGCGUAGAGAUCUGGAGGAAUACCGGUGGCGAAGGCGGCCCCCUGGACAAAGACUGACGCUCAGGUGCGAAAGCGUGGGGAGCAAACAGGAUUAGAUACCCUGGUAGUCCACGCCGUAAACGAUGUCUACUUGGAGGUUGUGCCCUUGAGGCGUGGCUUCCGGAGCUAACGCGUUAAGUAGACCGCCUGGGGAGUACGGCCGCAAGGUUAAAACUCAAAUGA